AAUAAAGUAUUUUUGGCCUUGGAAAUCCGUGAAGCACUAAAAGGCUUUAGAAAACAACUCAGAGAAAAGAAGAAAUAAGUUUCCUACUCCUAAUACCUUCCCAGAACAUAGAUUUGAGACAAGAAAUCGUCAAGCUCGUAAGUUACAUUCCUAAAAAUUAAAAAAAAAUUUGGGGGGGCCAUAACGUGGCUCCGCCACUGUGAGUAUGAGAGAGAGAGAGAGAGAGAGAGAGAGAGAUUAGAGCAGAGAUGAGAUAGGGAAAAGGAGAGAGAACUGAAAUACCUUGUUGUUGCCUGAGGUUGGGGGCGGCGCCACUGCGACAUAUUGAAGGCUGAGGUUCUUAUUUCCCGAUCUCACUUUUGCCGUCGCCGAUCUCGCAAUGUCCGAUCUGGGCCAAGUCAAUCUCCAAUCUCGCUGUCGCAGAGCUGCUCUGGGUGUUCAUUGUUGCUGUUGCUGCCUUGCUAAGUCGCUGCUGCUGCUGAGAAGUGAGGACAUGAGGUUCUUAUUAGGUGAGGGUGUUCCUGGGAACACCCUGACAUGAACGUGGCAUUGCCAUUGGCUUGGAUGUAGGAGGCAAGCCCUGUGCUUCCUAUUCCCUGCAUGCAUGGAUAUAAAGAGUUGCAAUUUGAUGUCUAUGAAAUCCAUAGUAGAAGUUUUUAUCAAACCUACCAUCCAAAGUAUUAUAGGUAUGUAUUUCUCUUCUUUGUUUUUGUGUUUUUUUCCAGCAAUGGUGGACAAGUACGUAUCUCAUGCAAGCAUACAUGAAUUUAAAUUACCUUUCAAUAUUUUGAAUUCUUUAUUAUUUGCUAGAUGUGAUU